rnacentral:rRNA from 1 species
AGAGAUGCUUUGGUGCCUUCGGGAACUCUGAGACAGGUGCUGCAUGGCUGUCGUCAGCUCGUGUUGUGAAAUGUUGGGUUAAGUCCCGCAACGAGCGCAACCCUUAUCCUUUGUUGCCAGCGGUCCGGCCGGGAACUCAAAGGAGACUGCCAGUGAUAAACUGGAGGAAGGUGGGGAUGACGUCAAGUCAUCAUGGCCCUUACGAGUAGGGCUACACACGUGCUACAAUGGCGCAUACAAAGAGAAGCGACCUCGCGAGAGCAAGCGGACCUCAUAAAGUGCGUCGUAGUCCGGAUUGGAGUCUGCAACUCGACUCCAUGAAGUCGGAAUCGCUAGUAAUCGUAGAUCAGAAUGCUACGGUGAAUACGUUCCCGGGUCUUGUACACACCG